AGAGUUUGAUCAUGGCUCAGGACGAACAUUGGCGGCGCGCCUAAUGCAUGCAAGUCGAGCGAACUCGUUUUCUUCGGAAAGCACAUAGUUAGCGGCGAACGGCUGAGUAACGCGUAAGUAACCUGCCUCGAAGAGGGGAAAAACUAUGAGAAAUCAUAGCUAAUUCCGCGUAAUGUCAGUUAAUUAAUUUAACUGAAGAAAGAUUUAUCGCUUUGAGAUGGGCUUGCGUCCUAUCAGGUAGUUGGUAAGGUAAUUGCUUACCAAGCCUAAGACGGGUAGCUGGAGUGAGAGCUUGACCAGCCAGAGGGGGACUGAGACACGGCCCCCACUCCUACGGGAGGCAGCAGCAGGGAAUCUUGCACAAUGGGCGAAAGCCUGAUGCAGCGACGCCGCGUGAGGGAUGAAGGUUCUAGGAUCGUAAACCUCUUUUCUUAGGGAAUAGUUUGGAAGGUACCUAAGGAAUAAGUCACGGCUAACUACGUGCCAGCCGCCGCGGUAAUU
rnacentral:rRNA from 1 species